CUUCUUCGCAUAUCAACAGUUGAACAGGUGAUGACGUUUUUUGUAGUUUUGUUCCCGGAGGAGGAUGACUUUGUGGCAGCAGUUCCACGCCAGAUGGACUAACCGUCACGUUACCAGACGGGACAUCGGCGGUGUGCGGACCUGAAACCACACGCAAAGGGCAGUACCUGGUACAACCGGUGAAGGGUGAAAUAGCGGAGAUAUACUGGGGACUAUUGACAGCGGAAAAGCCGGACAAACAGGGAAUUUUGUCCCAGUACUUCAAGUGGAGGCCGUGGAUCUCCCUCCUCGAGCCGUACUUUCCUCCGCCAGACCCCCCCACAUGUAACCCUAUUUUAUGAUCGGCAGGGCGAUGAGGUGUAUAGAGAGGGGUUUGGGGGUGUAGUGUGUGGGGACACGUGGCAGGUCGGGUCUAAAUUCAUAUAUGUAGGCCCUGAAGGGGUAGCGGCAGAUGUACAGUUGACAGAGGAGCAGGAUCAGUGGUACAUGAUGGCGGAGGAGUCCGUCCCACAUGUGUCACUGGCCCUGCAUCCUAAACACCAAGCGAAAGACCUGGGGCCCAUGGUUAAAAGGGCGGUCGAAUGCACUGAUUGGACACUCACUUAGGCGCCAAACGUAUGGUACUCACCCAGCUGUAAGACGUAUCAGUUAGAGGCACCAGGGACGGAUUGGGUAUAUUUAGAGCGAAGGGAGAUAACUCGGGAUCAUGGGAGGGAAAAGAUGGAUCACCCUGUAGCCACAGCCAGACUUAAUGAGUUACCUGACUCACUGUGGUCCAAGGGCCCCACGGACGUGGGGCUCACCGAUUGCCCACCGGUCACCUUUAAAAUCGGACCGGGAGAGCCCAUAUGGCUGCCCCAAUACCCACACAAACCAGAGGCAGAGGAAGGGUUGGAUGUGACAUUGAAUGGUUUGUGGCCCACAGGGGUGUUAGAGGAGUCAGGUUCCGCGUGGAACACGCCUAUCCUCCCGGUAGAAAAGAAA
ensembl:lncRNA